GGGGAAGUAUGGUCCCAAGGCUGAAACUUAAAGGAAUUGAUGGAAGGUCGCCACUAGGAGUGGAGCCUGCAGCUUAAGUUGACUCAACAUGAGAAAGAUUACUAGGUCUAAACAUAGUAAGGAUUGACAAAUUAAGAGAUCUUUCUUGAUUAUAUGGGUGCUGGUGUAUGGUCAUUCUUAUUAAUGGAGCGAUAUGUCUAUUUAAUUCUGAUAAUGAACGAGACUUAAAUGUGCUAACUAGCUACACGGAGUUUCCUCUUCAUGGAUAGCUUCUUAAAGGGACUAUGGUCUUUAGGCCAUGGAAGUUUGAGGCAAUAAUAGGUAUGUAAUGCCCUUAAAUGUUUUGGGUUCCAUGCACACUACACUGAUGUAGUCAAUGAUUUUUUCUCCCUAGUUCAAGAGGAUCGAGAAAUAUUCUCAAAUUGCAUCAUGAUGGGGAUAGACCAUUGCAAUUAUUGGUAUUCAAUGAGGAAUUCCUAGUAAGUGCAUGUCAUCAACUCAUGUUAACUACAUCCCUUCCCUUUGUACACAUCACUCAUUGCUCCUACAGAAUAUUGAAUGAUCUAGUGAAGUGUUCGGAUCGCGUCAAUCAGGGUGGUUUGCCACCAAUGACAUCAUGAGAUUUUCACUAAACCUUAUCAUUUAGAGGAAGGAGAAGUCAUAACAAGGUUAUUGUAGGUGAACCUAUGGUAG
rnacentral:ncRNA from 1 species